rnacentral:tRNA from 1 species
UCCCUGAUGGCUCAGUGGUAAAGAAUCUGCCUGCAAUGCAGGAGACCGUGGUUCGAUCCCUGGGUCGGGGAG